rnacentral:rRNA from 1 species
AUUGAACGCUGGCGGCAUGCCUUACACAUGAAAGUCGAACGGCAGCACGGGGCAACCUGGUGGCGAGUGGCGAACGGGUGAGUAAUGCAUCGGAACGUACCUUUCAGUGGGGGAUAACGUAGCGAAAGUUACGCUAAUACCGCAUAUUCUGUGAGCAGGAAAGCAGGGGAUCGCAAGACCUUGCGCUGAUUGAGCGGCCGAUGUCAGGUUAGCUAGUUGGGGAGGUAAAGGCUUACCAAGGCGACGAUCUGUAGCGGGUCUGAGAGGAUGAUCCGCCACACUGGAACCGAGACACGGUCCAGACGACUACGGGAGGCAGCAGUGGGGAAUUUUGGACAAUGGGGGCAACCCUGAUCCAGCCAUGCCGCGUGAGUGAAUAAGGCCUUCGGGUUGUAAAGCUCUUUCGGCCGGGAAGAAAUCGCACGGGCUAAUACCCUGUGUGGAUGACGGUACCGGAAUAAGAAGCACCGGCUAACUACGUGCCAGCAGCCGCGGUAACAC